GCCGGUCCUCGGUAGUGGUUCCCGGGCCGGCCGCCGGCAUCGCCGCAGCGGCCACCGAAGCCCCGGGGACUUCGAUCGAAGACCGGC
rfam:Streptoalloteichus hindustanus strain DSM 44523 genome assembly, contig: Ga0131095_103